rnacentral:lncRNA from 1 species
CCUUCGUCCUCUGUAUGAUAGGCACAUUUCCCAGCCUUGGAUCAUAAGAGGAACAGAAAUAUGGUCAAUCAGAGUUGAUAAAAUAAAACCUAGGAUAUGAAUGCGAUUGGAGGAGAGGGAGAUUGUUUGUCAAAGCAGGACCAGCUGGGAUUCUCUGGCUGACUCCCAGGCGCAACUGUGAAGCAGCGGAUAUUGGGUGCUCUCCCACCUCGUCAGGAGCAGCGUUCUCCUGUCUGUUCCUGGCAUCUCACAGCAUCCUGUGCCCUGCUAAGGUGUUAACUGACAACUGACAGAUUUUACUAAGAGCCUAUUCUCCUUGGUAGCAUUUUCAUUUUAAAAGUUGGUUUAAAAACUUUGAAAAUCAAACCUCUUGAGAGUGAAGGCAUAGCAUUCCUUCAGUAUAGCCCAUAAAUAGAUCACCUCUCAUCUUUUAGGGAAGGAAGCAAACGUUCUCUUGACACCUGACAUUCCAUUAACUACCAUCCAGAGUUUACCAACUUCCAAGAAAUUUUUUCCACAAAGUGGUUCAUUGUCUCCCCUAAUAAUUCCCCAGUUGUUACAAAUGUAAUCUGGCUUUCAUCUUCUCUUUUCAGCUGCUCUCUUUAGAGACUGUCUUCAUCAAGUUCUAAUUGCUAAAUCUAAGGUCUUUGGUUCUAUUUAAUGCAGUACUCCUUGGGAGAGUUAUGUUGUAUCAAUGGUUACAGAUUCGAUUUGUUUAGUUGUCUGUCUGUCCAGCUUAAUGGUAAGUGUCUUUCUGUCUGAAUAGCUGCUUAUUUAUAUUCAUAUAAUAUGUGAAUCUUGCAUGAUGCUUAGCUCCUGACAGUACUAUCAGAUCUAUUGAAAACUGGAUGUUUUGGAAGCCCACUGUUGUUUUCACACUGGGACUAAAUACAGUGUUCCUGGAGUAAGGCAGGAAGUCCAUCCACUCGGGAACCCCUCAGUAAUGCUACCAUCUCACUCUUAAGAUUGGCUCUGAUUGGAAGAAUUUAAACAAGAAAGAACAGGGGGCCAGAAACAAGAAUCAAGCUUCAUAGAGGGUUGGUUGCAACAAGAAAGAGUAUGAAGGGCUAUUCUAGAAUGGCAGUGAGACAUUGUAUUUAUACUCCCCUCCAUCCCAGUGACAUAUAAAGGUAUCCACAAGCAUCCAUAACAGUGGAAAUGAAGGUGGCCUUAGUCAUCUUUAACAACAUCUCUAAGCAAGUGAAAUUCUGCUGAAGAGACUAGCAUAGAAUUUCAGCUUUGAAGACUUUUCAAAGUCUAUAGGGACAAAGACUA